rnacentral:rRNA from 1 species
UGCGUAGGCGGAUAAAUAAAUCAGAGGUGAAAGGCUACCGCUCAACGGUAGAAUUGCCAUUGAUACUGUCAAUCUUGAAUACAGUCGAGGUGGGCGGAAUGUAACGUGUAGCGGUGAAAUGCUUAGAUAUGUUACAGAACACCAAUUGCGAAGGCAGCUUGCUAGACUGUUAUUGACGCUGAGGCACGAAAGCGUGGGUAGCGAACAGGAUUAGAUACCCUGGUAGUCC